GGCCUAAUAGUCAAGGAUGAUAUUAAAUUGCAAGUUUAAAGGUAAAAAGUUUUUAGGCUU
rnacentral:tRNA from 1 species